CUCGAACCUGGCCCCUGCCAACAAUGGACUCAACUGUUCUGGGACAGGUGAUGAGACGAAAAUAUGCAAGACUCAGCUUUAUUUAGUUUCAUUUUGAAAAUGAAUUCCAUCAUUUAAUUAUUCAAUUUUUCGUUAACAUUCGACGUUGAGUAGAUGGCAAUAUAUUGAGUGUCUUAUGUAAAACUAUUCUCAAUUAAAUAUUACAUUAAUAUAUUAUCUUAAACAUUGUGGAACUAAGUCAUCUAGUGAUAAAAUAUGUUCUUUUUACCGUACACGGCAACUGGUCAGAUUGGUCCAUAUGGUCACAUUGCUCAGUUAUAUGGAGCGUAGGAGUACGGAAGAAGACAAGAACGUGUACCAAUCCUAAACCAGAGCGGUCCUGGGACUAUUGCGUCGGAGAAUCUAGCGAAUAUACAGGAUGACUAAAGGAGCUUUGCAUCGUCAUUGACGGUGGCUUGUCGAGUUGGGGUUCGCGGCAGAGCUGUUCAGUCACACGUCGAGUGGGUCAAAAGUUGAGGAGCAGGACCUGUACCAACCCGAGCCCCACAUUGUACGGCAAGACUUGUGAGUUGAUGGCAACUGGGCAGCUUGGGGCGCCUGGACGACAUAUAGCUUAACGUGUAAUAACGGGACUCAGACCAGGACAAGAUUAAAAGGCCACAAAACCGAGGGCAGGUUGAUUUUGCGUGGUUGAUGUCUGCGCACACGUUUGUUAUAGAGUUCAGAUGGGCACAAUCCAUGGUUACAUCGUCAAUGCAGGCAAAAGCUAAAUUUGCAAAAUUAUAGGAAAGUCCUAUCCAAAGAUCCGGCACAGUUAUGACAUGUGGCAUGGGGCAAUGUACUUGGGAAAGAAACUGAGCAGUAUUGCCCUGGCAAAAGGUAACGAAGCAUUAGAGCCAUGACUGAAGGACAUCACAAACCACUUCUUGCCCCAUAUUUUUGUAGAGAUUGUUCAUCACUUGAAACUUUUGAAAAAGACAAAAUGGUUGUCAGUUAUCAAUCAUGUGACGAACAGACACACGUGGGCUCUCAGGCAGUGCGAGCGGGAUCUUGAAGAAAAACAAUGGCUUAAACCCGCAAGCAUGGCUGUCAAGGAUCUACAAAAGACUGUGAUGGAACCCAGACUGCUGAAGACCUUUCCAUACUACGUCACAUGCCAUUUCUUAGAUUAAGCAAAGAAAAGGUUUAUGACAGACGGAAUGACAGACAUCAGAACUGGAGAUGUUCACUAACCAUUUGCUGAUGUAUGCACCAAAAAGAAAUGCUUUUGGAGUAAGGCGUGUGCAUUCCAAGGCAGCUAACAACUGGACGGUGGUACCUGUAAAAGAAAAGAAGCAAUACAAGUACAUCCCAGGCUUGUUUUUCGAGGAUUUGCAUGGAUUAUAUUCAGAUUAACAAGGAAACUCCACUGAAAUCGAAGUUCCGUGUUGAUCCAGAUGAUCCUAAGAAAAUUGCCUCGACAAUCGCCCAAUGUCCACCUCCACCAACUGCCGAGCUGCGAGAUCCAGGAUCAAGGUCAAGCAAGCGAGCAAAGAAUUUGCUGAUUAGCUUUCAGAAAUCAAAGGACAUUAUGUGAUUUGGCAUCAGUGUUAAGAUGUGAGCUUGAAAGAUUAGUAACCCUGGCUGCUGAGUUUGUAUUAUAAGUAGAUGAGGUGACUUAAUAUGAAGCAUUAUGUAACUACUGUUAUCAUUAUUUAAUACUAGUCUUACUAGAUACUAAUGUUAAACAAAGAACUGAAUUAGCAUUGUGAACAAUACAAUGAACAGCUCGGACAACAGUCCUCAACCAGACAAGUACAGCAGUUAAAUAAUAGUUCUACAUUCAGAUUGCAUACUCCACUAAAAUAUUAUCAUUUACUGAUCAAUAAAAAUUAAUAAAAUAUAAGUAUCUUGAAAUUUAGAUAUUAUCUUAAGCGAUGCUUUACCGUCAAUAUAGGGUACCUGUUUCCAUGAUAAUGUUUGUAUAGUUAAAGUGUAUAUAUUAUCGUGAAUUGUGUAAAGUUUGUAUGCGAGACUCUUGGUCAAAUAUUGUUAAGUGUUUUCAAGACUUUUGGUCACGAGUCAUGACUAUGAACAUGAAUUGCAUACUCUUGAAUAUCAGCUGUCGUAGUCAAUUAUGAGUGUCAGUUUCAAAUUAUAAGUAUGCCCCCUUCGAAGAUGAGGGGUUUAUUGUUUUGCACAUGUCGGUCGGUCCGUCCGUUGAUCCUUCCACCAGAUGGUAUUUGAAUAUAACUGAAGAACGCUUACUCCUAGGAUCAUGAAACUUCAUAGGUACAUUGAUCAUGACUGGCAGGUGACCUCUAUCGAUUUCAGGUCACUAGGUCAAAGGUCAAGGUCACAGUAAUUCAAAACGUUUAAAUGGUUUCCGGAUGAUAACUCAAGAAUGCUUACACCUAGGAUCAUGAAACUUCAUAGGUACAUUGAUCAUGACUGACAUGUGACCCCUGUUUAUUUUCAGGUCUCUAGGUCAAGGUCACAGUGACUCGUAACAGUAAAAUGGUUUCCGGAUGAUAACUCAACAAUGAUUAGGCCUAGGGUCAUGAAACUUCAAAGGUACAGAGAGUAUGACUGGCAGAUGACCCCUGUUGAUUUUCAGGUCACAAGGUUAAGGUCGAAGUGACUCGAAACACUAAACUCAUCCGAAUGAUAACUCAACAAUGCUUUUAAGGCCUAGGGUCAUGAAAAUUCAUAGGUACAUUGAUAAUGACUGGCAGAUGACCCCUAUUGAUUUUCAGGUCACUAGGUCAAAGGGUACAAUUGCUGCCACUACAACUGACAGCCCAUAUGGGGGGCAUGUAUGUUUUACACUCAGCCCUUGUUAAAACUUGUGUACAUAGACGGAGUGUUCCAUUUAUUAUGACAUUAAGCAUAAUGCUUUAUGUAGAUACUGUUUUUUACAUUGUUUAUCAGCAGAUCAAUAACCAUUUAUUGUGAGCAUAAACAUUUAAGCUGGAGUGAUUAAUAUUCUUACAUAGAGAUGAUAAAAAUAAGCUGCGAUGGUAUGAGGUGUCUCCUAAGCAAGCAAGAGGUCACGGGUUCAAUUGCCACUUUUGGAGCGUUCUUUAGAUCUCUACCAUAGACACAAAGUACUGGUUCUACCCAGAAAUCAGACUUUAUAGCGUUUCAAUAAUCCUGGAGCUUCUGAUGCAAUAAAGCUUUUAUUAUUAGAUUUAAAACUUAUACCGGUAACUAAAGACAAUACAGUGUUGUUCAUUCAAAGAUAAAUAACAAAUGGAGAUUAAAGUGUGUUGUGUGUUUUUUAAUCCGGAAAAUAGUUCGGAAGAGAAAACUUUAUUUAUCCUAUUUUCCCUUGACUAAAGAGUUAUUGUUUUGAGUGUAUUAUGUUAUGAUUUUGUGUUGUAAUUAGUGGUCAAAAUAUAUAAAUAAAUGACAUGAAGAAAUUUGAAGCUGGUUGUUAAACUCUGAUUUAAUAUUAUAUUACACAACACCACAUUAUAAUAACAUGUAAGUUCAAAACAUGUAUUCAGAAAUAUGCAUUAAUGAAAACAGAAAAAUCAGUAACUGCAUCAAGGUUCAAAAGAAAGACUUUAUUUUCUUUAGAAGUACUUAUUUAAUGAUUGCUGAAGACUUAGUAAAAUGGUUUUACUUGAUGGAAGGCGCACGAAAAUCAGUUCUAUUUGUAGAGAGAUUUGUCAUGCAAUGC